rnacentral:rRNA from 1 species
UCCUGGCUCAGAUUGAACGCUGGCGGCAUGCUUUACACAUGCAAGUCGAACGGUAACAGGGAGCUUGCUCCGCUGACGAGUGGCGAACGGGUGAGUAAUGCAUCGGAACAUGCCCAGUCAUGGGGGAUAACUACGCGAAAGCGUAGCUAAUACCGCAUACGCCCUGAGGGGGAAAGUGGGGGAUCUUAGGACCUCACGUGAUUGGAGUGGCCGAUGUCAGAUUAGCUAGUUGGUGAGGUAAAGGCUCACCAAGGCGACGAUCUGUAGCGGGUCUGAGAGGAUGAUCCGCCACACUGGGACUGAGACACGGCCCAGACUCCUACGGGAGGCAGCAGUGGGGAAUUUUGGACAAUGGGCGCAAGCCUGAUCCAGCCACGCCGCGUGAGUGAAGAAGGCCUUCGGGUUGUAAAGCUCUUUCGCAAGGGAAGAAAACGGCAAGGUUAAUACCUUUGUCGGCUGACGGUACCUUGACAAGAAGCACCGGCUAACUACGUG